GCAAUACGUAUGAUGAUACGCAUAGUUCAUUUGAGCUUAAUUGUGCGAUGAAAAUGAUCACAGCAUUGUCUUUCGCUCCUAUCUGACGUUAUUG
rnacentral:snoRNA from 1 species